AGAGUUUGAUCCUGGCUCAGAACGAACGCUGGCGGCAGGCCUAACACAUGCAAGUCGAGCGCACCUUCGGGUGAGCGGCGGACGGGUGAGUAACGCGUGGGAAUAUGCCCAGAUCUGCGGAAUAGCCUCUGGAAACGGAGAGUAAUACCGCAUACGCCCUUCGGGGGAAAGAUUUAUCGGAUUUGGAUUAGCCCGCGUUGGAUUAGGUAGUUGGUGGGGUAAUGGCCUACCAAGCCGACGAUCCAUAGCUGGUUUGAGAGGAUGAUCAGCCACACUGGGACUGAGACACGGCCCAGACUCCUACGGGAGGCAGCAGUGGGGAAUCUUAGACAAUGGGGGAAACCCUGAUCUAGCCAUGCCGCGUGAGUGACGAAGGCCCUAGGGUCGUAAAGCUCUUUCGCCAGGGAAGAUAAUGACGGUACCUGGUAAAGAAACCCCGGCUAACUCCGUGCCAGCAGCCGCGGUAAUACGGAGGGGGUUAGCGUUGUUCGGAAUUACUGGGCGUAAAGCGCGCGUAGGCGGACUUUUAAGUUAGAGGUGAAAUCCCGGGCUCAACCCCGGAACUGCCUUUAAUACUGGAAGUCUUGAGUUCGAGAGAGGUGAGUGGAAUUCCGAGUGUAGAGGUGAAAUUCGUAGAUAUUCGGAGGAACACCAGUGGCGAAGGCGGCUCACUGGCUCGAUACUGACGCUGAGGUGCGAAAGUGUGGGGAGCAAACAGGAUUAGAUACCCUGGUAG
rnacentral:rRNA from 1 species